rnacentral:pre_miRNA from 1 species
UCACUGCUCCCUCCGUUUCAUAAUUUUUGUUUCAAAUUUGACCAAAAAUGAAUGUAUUUAUUCUUAAAAUGCGUCUAGAUAUAUGUAAUAUUUCGACAAGAAUUAUGAAACGGAGGGAGUAACUU